AUUGAACGCUGGCGGCAGGCCUAACACAUGCCAGUCGAACGGAAACAGGAAGCAGCUUGCUGCUUUGCUGACGAGUGGCGGACGGGUGAGACAUGUCUGGGAACCUGCUCGAUGGAGGGGGUUAACUACUGGAAACGGUAGCUAAUACCGCAUAACGUCGCAAGCCCAAAGAGGGGGACUUUAGGGCCUCUUGCCAUCGGCUGUGCCCAGAUGGGAUUAGCUAGUAGGUGGGGUAACGGCUCACCUAGGCGACGAUCCCUAGCUGGUCUGAGAGGAUGACCAGCCACACUGGAACUGAGACACGGUCCAGACUCCUACGGGAGGCAGCAGUGGGGAAUAUUGCACAAUGGGCGCAAGCCUGAUGCAGCCAUGCCGCGUGUAUGAAGAAGGCCUUCGGGUUGUAAAGUACUUUCAGCGGGGAGGAAGGGAGUAGAGUUAAUACCUUUACUCAUUGACGUUACCCGCAGAAGAAGCACCGGCUAACUCCGUG
rnacentral:rRNA from 1 species